rnacentral:lncRNA from 1 species
GACAUACUGUGUUUUCUCUAGAUGGAAAAUUUGACUAACUGGAACAAAAACAUCGAUUUUCUACUUAGAUGCUCUCUUGUUGAUGUGUCUUGAGCAUACAAUUGUGAAAUGGUCCAGAACAUCAAGACACUAUUGCUGAAAACUAAAGCUAUAUUAGAUGAUGAUUUUAUUGAAAAUUGGUUGCUUGAGAAGGAACAACAAUCCACUUAGACAUAUUUUGAGGUAUAUACUAAAAAAAUUUGAGUUACGGAUUGCUCCGAAUGUACCGAAAGAUCUCUACUAAUGGAAUGAAGUAACAUUUGCUAUUAUAGGCUUAUGCAUCUCCUGAUAAAUGCCUUCCGGAGUGCAUUGGAGCCACCUCGGUGCUGCAUGAAAAUGAUUUUCAAGAACGGUUCAUGUUGUGAUGAAAUAUCAAAAAAGAAAUUAGAUGAAAUGAUGUGCAGAUUACAAGUUCAACAUCAGAAAUGUGAUCUAGAUGAUCUUCUCAAAGCUAACAAUAAGGCUAUAUGUCUGUUGAAAAAUCGGCGCACCAACUUUAACACCGACUUCCUAGAUGUGGCACCAAAGUACUAUAAUACCACUUCUUCUAUGGACCCUUACCCAUACUAUUCCGAGGAGACCUUCACACUGACACCAACACGGAAGACCAACUCUCUAUAGGGGAACUCAAACCUUUAUUCACAACUCAACUUGAUACAAGACUCAUUUUUACUUUUUGUGUGGCUAUCCUACCACUUUCUACUCAUGCCAUCCUAGGGCAUGUCUUCAUGGUGGCUACCUAUGCCAUCUUCAAGUGGCGUCUACUUGACUUCCUUGGCUUUCUUGCCAC